AUGGUCCAGAAAUCGAAGGACCAGAGGUCGACGCCCCUGGAUCAGAAGCCGAUGCUCCCGGACCAGAGGCCGACUCCCCCGGGCCAGAAGCAGACGCCCCCGGAGCAGAAGCAGACGGUUCCGGUUCCGGUCCAGAGGUCGACGGUCCAGAAAUCGAAGGACUUGAAGUCGACGCCCACGGAUCAGAAGCCGACGCCCCCGGACCAGAAGUCGAUGGUGGUCGACGUCUGGUCCUGUCCUGUAGUCGAUGUCCCUUCCUCUUCUGAAGUCGACACCUCCUCGUGUUCUGAAGUUGACGCCCCUUCCUGUUCUGAAGUCGACGCCCCUUCCUGUUCUGAAGUUGACGCCUCCACCUGUUCUGAAGUCGACGCCCCCACCUGUUCUGAAGUCGACACCUCCACCUGUUCUGAAGUCGACGCCUCCUUGUGUUCUGAAGUCUCCUCUGAGGUCAACGUCUCUUCUGAAGUCUCCUCUGAGGUCGACGUGUCCGAAGUCGUCUCCUCUGAAGUCGAUGUGUCUGAAGUCGUCUCCUCUGAAGUUGACGUGUCUGAAGUCGUCUCCUCUGAAGUUGAUGAGUCUGAAGUUGCCUCUGAAGCCGUCUCGUCUGAAGUCGGCGUGUCUGAAGUCGACGUGCCUGAAGUUGUCUCGUCUGAAGUCAACGUGUCUGAAGUUGCCUCUGAAGCCGUCUCGGCUGAAGUUGCCUCUGAAGCCGUCUCGGCUGAAGUUGCCUCUGAAGCCGUCUCGUCUGAAGUUGACGUGUCUGAAGUCGUCUCGUCUGAAGUCGACGUGUCUGAAGUCGUCUCAUCUGAAGUCGACGUGUCUGAAGUUGCCUCUGAAGCCGUCUCGUCUGAAGUCGUCUUGUCUGAAGUUGCCUUGUCUGAAGUUGCCUCUGAAGCCGUCUCGUCUGAAGUUGUCUCAUCUGAAGUUGCCUCUGAAGCCGUCUCGUUUGAAGUCGUCUCGUCUGAAGUUGCCUCUGAAGACGUCUCGUCUGAAGUCGACGUGUCUGAAGUCGACGUGUCUGAAGUCGUCUCGUCUGAAGUCGCCUCGUCUGAAGUCGCCUCGUCUGAAGUCGCCUCGUCUGAAGUUGCCUUGUCUGAAGUCGCCUCUGAAGCCGUCUCGUCUGAACUCGCCUCUGAAGCCGUCUCGUCUGAAGUCGCCUCUGAAGACGUCUCGUCUGAAGUCGACGUGUCUGAAGUCGACGUGUCUGAAGUCGUCUCGUCUGAAGUCAUCUCGUCUGAAGUCGCCUCGUCUGAAGUCGCCUCGUCUGAAGUCGCCUCUGAAGCCGUCUCGUCUGAAGUGGCCUCUGAAGCCGUCUCGUCUGAAGUUGCCUUAUCCACUCUAGAGGUCGACGCUCACUCCACUCUAGAGGUCGACGCUCUCUCCACUCUAGAGGUCAACGCUCUCUCCACGCUAGAGGUCGGCGCUCUCUCCACUCGAGAGGUCGACACUCUCUCCACGCUAGAGGUCGGCGCUCUCUCCACUCGAGAGGUCGACACUCCCUCUGGUCCGACGUCUCCACCGUCUCCGGUUCCAAUGCUGGUUCUGAAGGUCGCCCCGGCCCAGCCUGCAGAGACUAUGUCCCCGGCC
rnacentral:lncRNA from 1 species